rnacentral:tRNA from 1 species
GCAGUCGUGGCCGAGUGUUAAGGCGAUGGACUAGAAAUCCAUUGGGGUUUCCCCGCACAGGUUCGAAUCCUGUCGACUGCG